GACGAACGCUGGCGGCGUGCUUAACACAUGCAAGUCGAACGAUGAAGCCGGAGCUUGCUCUGGUGAAUUAGUGGCGAACGGGUGAGUAACACGUGAGUAACCUGCCCUUGACUCUGGGAUAACUGCGGGAAACUGUAGCUAAUACCGGAUACGACCAUCGGAGGCAUCUCCUGGGGGUGGAAAGAAUUUCGGUCAAGGAUGGACUCGCGGCCUAUCAGCUAGUUGGUGAGGUAAAGGCUCACCAAGGCGACGACGGGUAGCCGGCCUGAGAGGGUGACCGGGCACACUGGGACUGAGAGACGGCCCAGACUCCUAAGGGAGGCAGCAGUGGGGAAUAUUGCACAAUUGGCGCAAUCCUGAUGCAGCAACGCCGCGUGAGGGAUGACGGCCUUCGGGUUGUAAACCUCUUUUAGCAGGGAAGAAGCGAAAGUGACGGUACCUGCAGAGAAAGUACCGGCUAACUACGUGCCAGCAGCCGCCGCGG
rnacentral:rRNA from 1 species